CGCGGCCUAUCAGCUUGUUGGCGGGGUAACGGCCCACCAAGGCAUCGACGGGUAGCUGGUCUGAGAGGACGAGCAGCCACACUGGGACUGAGACACGGCCCAGACUCCUACGGGAGGCAGCAGUGGGGAAUAUUGCGCAAUGGGCGAAAGCCUGACGCAGCAACGCCGCGUGGGGGAUGACGGCCUUCGGGUUGUAAACCCCUUUCAGCAGGGACGAAAAUGACGGUACCUGCAGAAGAAGCCCCGGCCAACUACGUGCCAGCAGCCGCGGUAACACGUAGGGGGCAAGCGUUGUCCGGAUUUAUUGGGCAUAAAGAGCUCGUAGGCGGUUGCGUAAGUCGGAUGUGAAAACUCAGGGCUCAACCCGGAGACGCCAUUCGAUACUGCGCUGACUAGAGUCCGGUAGGGGAGCAUGGAAUUCUUGGUGUAGCGGUGAAAUGCGCAGAUAUCAGGAGGAACACCAGUGGCGAAGGCGGUGCUCUGGGCCGGUACUGACGCUGAGGAGCGAAAGCGUGGGUAGCGAACAGGAUUAGAUACCCUGGUAGUCCACGCCGUAAACGUUGGGCACUAGGUGUGGGGCCUUUCUAACGGGUUCCGUGCCGUAGCUAACGCAUUAAGUUUUAAGGGUGGGGAGUACGG
rnacentral:rRNA from 1 species